rnacentral:rRNA from 1 species
UCUUAGUGGCGGACGGGUGAGUAACGCGUGGGUAACCUGCCCCAUACCGGGGGAUACCACCUGGAAACAGGUGCUAAUACCGCAUAAGCGCACGGGAGCGCAUGCUCCUGUGUGAAAAACUCCGGUGGUAUGGGAUGGACCCGCGUCUGAUUAGCCAGUUGGCAGGGUAACGGCCUACCAAAGCGACGAUCAGUAGCCGGCCUGAGAGGGUGGACGGCCACAUUGGGACUGAGACACGGCCCAAACUCCUACGGAAGGCAGCAG